UGCUACCUGCAGUCGAGCGGUAACAGGUGUAGCAAUACAUGCUGACGAGCGGCGGACGGGUGAGUAACGCUUGGGAAUCUGCCUGUUAGUGGGGGACAACCCGGGGAAACUCGGGCUAAUACCGCAUACGCACUAUGGUGGAAAGCCGGGGACCGCAAGGCCUGGCGCUAACAGAUGAGCCCAAGUCGGAUUAGCUAGUUGGUAGGGUAACGGCCUACCAAGGCGACGAUCCGUAACUGGUCUGAGAGGACGACCAGUCACACCGGAACUGAGACACGGUCCGGACUCCUACGGGAGGCAGCAGUGGGGAAUAUUGGACAAUGGGGGCAACCCUGAUCCAGCGACGCCGCGUGGGUGAAGAAGGCCUGCGGGUUGUAAAGCCCUUUCGGUUGGGAAGAAAAGCUGUGACCUAACACGUUGCGGCCUUGACGUAACCAACUAAAGAAGCACCGGCUAACUCUGUGCCAGCAGCCGCGGUAAUACAGAGGGUGCGAGCGUUAAUCGGAAUUACUGGGCGUAAAGCGCGCGUAGGCGGCUUUUCAAGUCGAUUGUGAAAUCCCCGGGCUUAACCUGGGAACUGCAGUCGAGACUGUCUAGCUAGAGUAUGGGAGAGGGAAGUGGAAUUUCAGGUGUAGCGGUGAAAUGCGUAGAUAUCUGAAGGAACAUCAGUGGCGAAAGCGACUUCCUGGACCAAUACUGACGCUCAUGUGCGAAAGCGUGGGGAGCAAACAGGAUUAGAUACCCUGGUAGUCCACGCCAUAAACGAUGAGAACUGGAUGUCGGGAGGGUCUGCCUCUCGGUGUCGUAGCUAACGCGUUAAGUUCUCCGCCUGGGGAGUACGGCCGCAAGGUU
rnacentral:rRNA from 1 species